CUGACUGAUCCCAGUCACCAGCACGUCACCGAAAUGGUCUUCAACAUGUUCAAGUCCCGAUACGAGGAGCCCACCGAGGACGAGGGCUUCUCGGAGGUGACCAGGCUCGCGUGCGUGCCGACGUUUGACGACCGGGAGCGGGAGCGGCUCUACCGGUUCUACCUGACCGAGAAGUGAGCGCCGGACGUCACACUGCUCGUCCCCGCCGGCUCUACCCGACCGGGAACGGGAGCGGCUCUACCGAUUCUACCUGACCGAGAAGUGAGCGCCGAACUUCACACUGCUCGUCCCCGCCGGCUCUACCCGGCCGGGAACGGGAGCGGCUCUACCGGUUCUACCUGACCGAGAAGUGAGCGCUGGACAUCACACUGCUUGUCCCCGCCGGCUCUACCCGACCGGGAACGGGAGCGGCUCUACCGGUUCUACCCGACCGAGAAGUGCCGCGGCGUGUCGGUCGCCCUGCGCCGCUCCCGUCUGCCGCACUGGGCUGAGCUGCUGCCCUGCUGCGGCUGGGGCCGCUGCCGGCCGGUAAGGACGCUGACAGCUGGGAAGGGGCCUGCUCCAGCCCCGGUGCCAUGCAUACGCGAAUGCGGCGGCGCCGGCGGCGUGCGCCAAUGACGUCACUGGACGCCCGCCGAUGACGUUACUGGACGCCCGCCGAUGGCGUCUGGACGCCUGCCGAUGACGUCUGGACGCCUACCGAUGACGUCUGGACGCCUACCGAUGAUGUCCGGACGCCUACCGAUGACGUCUGGACGCCUACCGAUGACGUCUGGACGCCUACCGAUGACGUCUGGACGCCUACCGAUGAUGUCCGGACGCCUAACGAUGGCGUCCGGACGCCUGCCGAUGACGUCUGGACGCCUACCGAUGACGUCUGGACGCCUGCUGAUGACGUUUGGACGUCAGCCGAUGGCGUCACUGAACGCCUGCCAAUGACGGCACUGAACGCCCGCCUAUGACGUCACAGAUGACAUACGUGUCAUGAUUGGUGGAUCAGUCUGAUUUAUUUUGUUCGAUCGCGCCGGAGCGGUCCUGUUUUAAACUUAGCCGCGGUCUGACUUGUUUUUUUCGGCUUGUGUCGUGCCUGGUUGUGAUGCAGGUGAUUCAACCCAAACUUUGCUGUUGUCUGUUGACAUCGUUUGGCGCCGUGCGACUGUGAUCGUGGAUGAGCUCUUCAUAUGUUAUAAAAAACGGUGCCGCGUCCAGCGCCUAUUUGAGAACAAAUAUGCCAAUAAAACGUGCAUAGAAACGCCUCUA